rnacentral:rRNA from 1 species
AUUGAACGCUGGCGGCAGGCCUAACACAUGCAAGUCGAACGAGUGGCGGACGUGUGAGUAAUGUCUGGGACACUGCCUUAUGGAGGGGGAUAACUACUGGACACGGUAGCUAAUACCGCAUACCAUCAGAUGUGCCCAUAUGGGAUUAGCUAGUUGGUGGGGUAACGGCUCACCAAGGCGACGAUCCCUAGCUGGUCUGAGAGGAUGACCAGCCACACUGGAACUGAGACACGGUCCAGACUCCUACGGGAGGCAGCAGUGGGGAAUAUUGCACAAUGGGCGCAAGCCUGAUGCAGCCAUGCCGCGUGUAUGAAGAAGGCCUUCGGGUUGUAAAGUACUUUCAGCGGGGAGGCGUUACCCGCAGAAGAAGCACCGGCUAACUCCGUGCCAGCAGCCGCGGUAAUUC